AGGCUGAGUAUCUGCCCUCGGAGGUGCAGGGUGAAGCCCCAGACCCCAGCGUGGCCAUCCUGGGAGACAGAGCCUCCAACAAUUAACUAAGCGCACAUCGCGAGACGGUGGCUAUCUUUGAGCAGGAAGAAAGGUCUCCCCGGGAACCUGAUCUCGGGCUUUGGCCUCAGAACUCUGUCCAGUGCCCCAUCCCUGCUGCUGAGCUCCCAGACCACAACUACUCAGAAGGGGGAGGAAACAGACAGCGUGGGGCCCUGGCCCUGAGAAGCUGAAGGACCAAGUCAAAGCACUGCCAUGUGGACAGCGAGCGCCAGCCACGGUGCCCACUCUCCUGGAUCAUCACAGGCUCCCUGGGCCUGCUCUACAGACGCGGUAACCGCAACACGGCCUUGUGCCACCCCAGGGGGAGCCCUGCCACCUCACCUUAUGUCACCUCCCCAACACCCAGUCCUACCCGCCUCCCCCAUCCCCAAGUCCUUUGAUUCAGCCUCUUCCAUCUCUCUAGAACCUGCUCCCCACUUCUACCGCACGCCACCCCCAAGUUCAAGUCACAGCAGCUCAGGCUGCAAUUACUCCC